GCAAGCGUUGUUCGGAAUUACUGGGCGUAAAGCGCGUGUAGGCGGCCAAGUAAGUCGAAUGUGAAAUCCCUCGGCUCAACCGAGGAAGUGCAUCCGAAACUGCUUGGCUUGAGUCCCGGAGAGGGAUGUGGAAUUCCCGGUGUAGAGGUGAAAUUCGUAGAUAUCGGGAGGAACAUCAGUGGCGAAGGCGACAUCCUGGACGGUGACUGACGCUAAGACGCGAAAGCGUGGGUAGCAAACAGGAUUAGAUACCCUGGUAGUCCACGCCGUAAACGGUGUCCACUAGGUGAUGCGGGUAUUGACCCCCGCAGUGCCGCAGCUAACGCAUUAAGUGGACCGCCUGGGGAGUACGGCCGCAAGGUUAAAACUCAAAGGAAUUGACGGGGACCCGCACAAGCGGUGGAGCAUGUGGUUUAAUUCGACGCAACGCGAAGAACCUUACCUGGGCUUGACAUCCCCUGACAACCCUAGAAAUAGGGCCUCCACUUCGGUGGCAGGGAGACAGGUGCUGCAUGGCUGUCGUCAGCUCGUGUCGUGAGAUGUUGGGUUAAGUCCCGCAACGAGCGCAACCCUUGUCUCUAGUUGCCAGUAUUUAGUUAGGCACUCUAGAGAGACCGCCCCGGUUAACGGGGAGGAAGGUGGGGAUGACGUCAAGUCCUCAUGGCCUUUAUGCCCAGGGCUACACACGUGCUACAAUGGCCGGUACAAAGGGCUGCAAAACCGCGAGGUAGAGCCAAUCCCAAAAAGCCGGUCUCAGUUCGGAUUGAAGUCUGCAACUCGACUUCAUGAAGUUGGAAUCGCUAGUAAUCCUGAAUCAGAAUGUCAGGGUGAAUACGUUCUCGGGUGUUGUACACACCGCCCGU
rnacentral:rRNA from 1 species